rnacentral:rRNA from 1 species
CCUACGGGUGGCAGCAGUGGGGAAUAUUGCACAAUGGGGGGAACCCUGAUGCAGCGACGCCGCGUGGGUGAAGGAGUAUUUCGGUAUGUAAAGCCCUAUCAGCAGGGAAGAACAAUGACGGUACCUGACUAAGAAGCACCGGCUAAAUACGUGCCAGCAGCCGCGGUAAUACGUAUGGUGCGAGCGUUAUCCGGAUUUAUUGGGUUUAAGGGGUGCGCAGGCGGAUUUUUAAGUCAGCGGUCAAAUCGUGGGGCUCAACCCCAUCCAGCCGUUGAAACUGGGGAUCUAGAGGGUGCGAGAGGUAUGCGGAAUGCGUGGUGUAGCGGUGAAAUGCAUAGAUAUCACGCAGAACCCCGAUUGCGAAGGCAGCAUACCGGUGCACAACUGACGCUCAGGCACGAAAGCGUGGGUAUCGAACAGGAUUAGAUACCCCAGUAGUC